rnacentral:rRNA from 1 species
CAAUAGCGUAUAUUAAAGUUGUUGCAGUUAAAAAGCUCGUAGUUGGAUUUCUGGUGGGAGCGAUCGGUCUGGCGCUUAGCGCGAGUACUUGCGUCGUCUCCGGCCAUCCUUGGGGAAAGUCUGUCUGGCAUUAAGUUGUCGGGCAGAGGAUCCUCAUCGUUUACUGUGAAAAAAUUAGAGUGUUCAAAGCAGGCUUAUGCCGUUGAAUAUAUUAGCAUGGAAUAAUAAGAUAGGACUUUGGUACUAUUUUGUUGGUUUGCGCACCAAAGUAAUGAUUAAUAGGGACAGUUGGGGGUAUUCGUAUUCCGUUGUCAGAGGUGAAAUUCUUGGAUUUACGGAAGACGAACUACUGCGAAAGCAUUUACCAAGGAUGUUUUCAUUAA